rnacentral:lncRNA from 1 species
GUGGUGCAAUUAUGCGCCUGUGGCCAAUAAGUAAGCCUGUGCUGACAUAAUAAUAUACCUGUGAUAAUAAAUCUGUGGUGACAAUUAUAUACCUGUGGCCAAUGAGUGAGCCUAUGGUGACAUAAUAAUAUACCUACGGUGAUGAAUGUGCAGUGAGACUAAUUGAGAGAUGUGAUAGCUUAACAGUAAAAUAUGCCAUGGGGGCUCGACGGU